rnacentral:rRNA from 1 species
ACUCCUGCGGGAGGCAGCAGUGGGGAAUAUUGCACAAUGGGCGCAAGCCUGAUGCAGCCAUGCCGCGUGUAUGAAGAAGGCCUUCGGGUUGUAAAGUACUUUCAGCGGGGAGGAAGGCGAUAAGGUUAAUAACCUUGUUGAUUGACGUUACCCGCAGAAGAAGCACCGGCUAACUCCGUGCCAGCAGCCGCGGUAAUACGGAGGGUGCAAGCGUUAAUCGGAAUUACUGGGCGUAAAGCGCACGCAGGCGGUCUGUCAAGUCGGAUGUGAAAUCCCCGGGCUCAACCUGGGAACUGCAUUCGAAACUGGCAGGCUAGAGUCUUGUAGAGGGGGGUAGAAUUCCAGGUGUAGCGGUGAAAUGCGUAGAGAUCUGGAGGAAUACCGGUGGCGAAGGCGGCCCCCUGGACAAAGACUGACGCUCAGGUGCGAAAGCGUGGGGAGCAAACAGGAUUAGAAACCCCUGUAGUCCCAUGAU